AGCAAGUGAAGGACCCGCCGCCGAAGUGCUGCCGAAGACUCUGAGCACCGCCCGGUGUUCAGCAACCAGCUCUCACAAGCCAGCUUGCCUGGGUGGCGAGAUAGACUGGACUGCCCAGCGUGGCUGUCUGUGACUCCAUGGUGAGAUGGGAGUUCAGCAGAGGCCAGACCAGACGUCUCCAGGCACUGCCCUCUCCUCCUCACACCCUUGCUGAUUCCCAUACUGCUGAGAUUCUCCCGGAGCGCCCCCAGCAGGGAAGCAGAAGUGAAGUGUGGCUGCAGAUCCUCUUUCUGGUUGCAAGAUGAGACUCGAGGGACGACCUGAGCUUCCCAGGUCAACUGAAGCCAUCAGCUCGGGAAAUGAAAUCGGGGGCCUCUUUUCACUUCCCCCGUGAAUGGGAGCAAGAACCCUGCCCUGUGUCUCUCUCUCUGCUGCCUUUCUGCCUGAGCAAUCUCCCAGCACUUCCCUAGCUAGACACGCAGGGAUUGCGUUAUCACUGGAAUUGGUACCAGGGGUAAUUACCCAUUGGAACAACUCACCUGGAGCCUUCAUCUCUGGCAUUCAGGACUGGAUGCUCCAGCCCAAACAGAAGUGAUGGGGAUGAUGAAGGAAUCACUGGCCUGGUCAUACUAGAUUAUCGCAAAGGUCCCUUCCGGCCUUCAACCCUAUGAAUUUUUACCUGGAGCAUCUCCCAUCCAAGUGCCAGCCACCUGAGACUGGGUGCUCACAGGUAGGGGGCCUCGCUGCAGGCAUAUGACCAUGGGCAUCCUUCAAACCACAUUAACACCUUCACCUGCCCAACACAGUCACCCAGAGAGCAGAUCGUUUGGGCUACAGCAUGGGGACUGGGUCUAAGCCUGAGAGAAGGGGAAGAUGUCCUGCCGAUAGUAACUCUGCGGCAGCCAAAUGAGAAGACAAGGUCUCUGCUGCCCCAUGCACACAUUGCUGGUGGGCAAUAUCUAGGGCGCAACACAAAUGCAAAGCAGUUGAGCGGUUGUUUGGCUCCUGGACUUUGGUUCCAAGGUUUGUUUGGGUUCGGAUCCCGUUUGAUCUGCCCUGGUUCUGUCCCGUGGGCUCCUGGCACAGGCAGGCCAGGCCGGAGGGAACAGCCGGUGUACAGAUGUAACCAAGGGCAAACAGUGAAGGUGGUUGGCAGAAUUCUGCUCUCAUUGUCAAUCCAGAAGAUCCAGUGUAAUGCCAUUGAAACCGCGGUCCACCUUCCCCAUAGCUCCCCCUCCCUGAGCCAGAGAUGCCCCGUGACAGUUGCUCCUAGUCUUUAUAGGUCUGGGACAGUCACCUGGGGGGAGGGGGGGGGUCUAGUGUCUUGCCCAUCUCCAGCAACACUGGUAGCUCCCCUCUGGGGGCAGUCUCCUUCACACCCACACAGGGGCCCUCGCUAGCAGCACAUUGUCCCGCCAGCCAGCUGGUACAUGCUGGGAGGAUGCCUAGUUCUGCCGGACAGUGAGAGAUGCUGUGGCUGGUCAGAUUCGUAAGGGGAUGGAGGAGACCGACGAUCUCAUCCGCUACAGCCGCACUCCUGGGCAGUGCUAAGGGCAGGGCGUCGGCCCGGUAUUUAUUUUGGUUCGGUUCAGGCCCAGGUUCAGUUGCAUUCAGGGUGUCCGGGUCCGGUUCCAGUUCAAGCCACCAAAAGACAAUAACGGUUCGGUUACCGGCUCAGCUCACAUCUCAAUCUGAGUGGACGCAAACUCCAAAAACAGAAUUGAAAUA